rnacentral:rRNA from 1 species
UGUGGCUUAAUUCGAGGCUACGCGAAGAACCUUAUCCUGGUCUUGACAUGCUUGGGAAUCCCGCCGAAAGGUGGGAGUGCUUUUCGGAGAACCCUUGCACAGGUGCUGCAUGGCUGUCGUCAGCUCGUGUCGUGAGAUGUCGGGUUAAGUCCCUUAACGAGCGAAACCCUUGUCCCUAGUUGCCAGCGGGUCAUGCCGGGGACUCUAGGGAGACUGCCGGUGUUAAACCGGAGGAAGGCGGGGAUGACGUCAAGUCCUCAUGGCCUUUAUGAUCAGGGCUGCACACGUCCUACAAUGCGAUGCACAAAGGGACGCAAGCUCGCGAGAGCAAGCAAAUCCCAAAAACAUCGCUCAGUUCGGAUUGCAGGCUGCAACCCGCCUGCAUGAAGCUGGAAUCGCUAGUAAUCGCGGGUCAGCAUACCGCGGUGAAUGUGUUCCUGAGCCUU